ACUACGGGGGGCAGCAGUGAGGAAUAUUGGUCAAUGGGCGGAAGCCUGAACCAGCCAAGUAGCGUGCAGGAUGACGGCCCUACGGGUUGUAAACUGCUUUUAUACGGGAAUAACGCGCCUUACGUGUAGGGCUUUGCAUGUACCGUAUGAAUAAGGACCGGCUAAUUCCGUGCCAGCAGCCGCGGUCAUACGGAAGGUCCGGGCGUUAUCCGGAUUUAUUGGGUUUAAAGGGAGCGUAGGCCGCAUGUCAAGCGUGCUGUGAAAUGUCCGGGCCCAACCCGGGCCUGGCAGCGCGAACUGGCGUGCUUGAGUCCGCGGAAAGCAGGCGGAAUGCGUCGUGUAGCGGUGAAAUGCUUAGAUAUGACGAAGAACCCCGAUUGCGAAGGCAGCUUGCUGCAGCGGAACUGACGCUGAUGCUCGAAAGCGCGGGUAUCGAACAGGAUUAGAUACCCUGGUAGUC
rnacentral:rRNA from 1 species